UACGUGAAACCGUUCAGGGGUAAACCUGAGAAACCCGAAAGAUCGAAUGGGGAGAUUCAGCGCGUCUCCGAGCUGGCGAGCGGCGGGGUUAGCGACGGACGUCCUUCGGGACGGCUGCGCGCCCCGUCACCGCGUCCGGUUUGGAACGCGUGCACUUCUCCCCUAGUAGGACGUCGCGACCCGUUGGGUGUCGGCCUUAGGCUAGCGGUGGAGCCCGCGAGGACGGUCCCGGCCGUCCCUUGCGGACCCGCGAUGCCCGGCCGGCUCGCCCGACGGUUCCGAAAUGGCUUGGAGCCGCGAUUCGUUCGCGUCCGGCCCGUCGCAAGCUCGGACGGUUGCCCGGCUGUCGGACCUAGCGCCGACACUGGAGCCGUUCGGCUGCUGGCGGCGGAGACCUCGGACGGACUCCUAUCACGCCAGUCGGCGACGCUUUAGCUUUGGGUACUUUCAGGACCCGUCUUGAAACACGGACCAAGGAGUCUAGCAUGUGCGCGAGUCAUUGGGACUUGCUAAACCUAAAGGCGAAAUGAAAGUGAAGGCACGCUUCGCGCAUGCCUAGGGAGGAUGGGCCGCGUCACCGUGCGCGGCCCCGCACUCCAGGGGCGUCUC
rnacentral:rRNA from 1 species